rnacentral:lncRNA from 1 species
UAGCCCUCUGAAUGAUUACAUUGUUAGCAAUCAUGUUCAUUUUAGAAGGGAGAAAAUGAAGAAUACAGUUGGCCACCUCAGUCACAUAUGAAUCAAUAAGCUUUAGCAAACAGUUAAACUGACUGCUUCAAUUUUAUAUAAGGUAUCUCAGAAAAUAUAAAAAAAUACUUAGCAACUUAUCUUACAAGGGUAGAUUGAUCAUCAUUUCUGAAUGCAGAUAAAUAGAGUGCAAGAAAUAAAAAGUAGUAACCAGGUUCAUUCAUGAUAUGGAUAAAUAAAAUAUCACCUAAUUACCUGAGCCAUGCAUUUUAAAAAUGAAUCUAUCAUAACCAGGCUUAUAUCUGCAUAGUGGACUUGAAGAUAUGGAGCCUAAAUUGUCAUUGGAUAUCUUUUCAGAUUUGUUUCAGCUUCAGAAAGUUGCCUUUCCCAAAGUCAUGCCCUCUUAGAAAUUGACUCCAUCUCAUGGGCAGCAGAAGCUAUAAGAUAAGCAGACUUGACAACAAUUGUUAAGGUUGUAUACACUAAAAUCUGCUGCAAAAGUUGAACUUGUGGAACAGGACACUGCGUGCUGUAAAUUCACGACUCUUGAUCUUGUGGUUGAAUUCCACUUGACCGUGAACGUUUGCAUCACUACUCCAGUAUUCAACGUGAGGAUGUUGGGCCAGCGCCGCGACUCACUAGGCUAGUCUUCCGCCUGCAGUGCUGGCACCCCAGGUUCUAGUCCCGGUUGGGGCGCCGGAUUCUGUCCCUG